rnacentral:rRNA from 1 species
UUUAGAGUUUUGANNCCCCGCUCAGGACGAACGCUGGCGGCGUGCCUAAUACAUGCAAGUCGAACGCUUCUUUUUCCACCGGAGCUUGCUCCACCGGAAAAAGAGGAGUGGCGAACGGGUGAGUAACACGUGGGUAACCUGCCCAUCAGAAGGGGAUAACACUUGGAAACAGGUGCUAAUACCGUAUAACAAUCAAAACCGCAUGGUUUUGAUUUGAAAGGCGCUUUCGGGUGUCGCUGAUGGAUGGACCCGCGGUGCAUUAGCUAGUUGGUGAGGUAACGGCUCACCAAGGCCACGAUGCAUAGCCGACCUGAGAGGGUGAUCGGCCACAUUGGGACUGAGACACGGCCCAAACUCCUACGGGAGGCAGCAGUAGGGAAUCUUCGGCAAUGGACGAAAGUCUGACCGAGCAACGCCGCGUGAGUGAAGAAGGUUUUCGGAUCGUAAAACUCUGUUGUUAGAGAAGAACAAGGAUGAGAGUAACUGUUCAUCCCUUGACGGUAUCUAACCAGAAAGCCACGGCUAACUACGUGCCAGCAGCCGCGGUAAUACGUAGGUGGCAAGCGUUGUCCGGAUUUAUUGGGCGUAAAGCGAGCGCAGGCGGUUUCUUAAGUCUGAUGUGAAAGCCCCCGGCUCAACCGGGGAGGGUCAUUGGAAACUGGGAGACUUGAGUGCAGAAGUGAG